rnacentral:rRNA from 1 species
CUCAGGAUGAACGCUGGCGGCGUGCCUAAUACAUGCAAGUCGAGCGAACAGAUAAGGAGCUUGCUCCUUUGACGUUAGCGGCGGACGGGUGAGUAACACGUGGAUAACCUACCUAUAAGACUGGGAUAACUUCGGGAAACCGGAGCUAAUACCGGAUAAGAUUUUGAACCGCAUGGUUCAAUAGUGAAAGACGGCCUUGCUGUCACUUAUAGAUGGAUCCGCGCCGUAUUAGCUAGUUGGUAAGGUAACGGCUUACCAAGGCAACGAUACGUAGCCGACCUGAGAGGGUGAUCGGCCACACUGGAACUGAGACACGGUCCAGACUCCUACGGGAGGCAGCAGUAGGGAAUCUUCCGCAAUGGGCGAAAGCCUGACGGAGCAACGCCGCGUGAGUGAUGAAGGUCUUCGGAUCGUAAAACUCUGUUAUCAGGGAAGAACAAACGUGUAAGUAACUGUGCACGUCUUGACGGUACCUGAUCAGAAAGCCACGGCUAACUACGUGCCAGCAGCCGCGGUAAUACGUAGGUGGCAAGCGUUAUCCGGAAUUAUUGGGCGUAAAGCGCGCGUAGGCGGUUUUUUAAGUCUGAUGUGAAAGCCCACGGCUCAACCGUGGAGGGUCAUUGGAAACUGGAAAACUUGAGUGCAGAAGAGGAAAGUGGAAUUCCAUGUGUAGCGGUGAAAUGCGCAGAGAUAUGGAGGAACACCAGUGGCGAAGGCGACUUUCUGGUCUGUAACUGACGCUGAUGUGCGAAAGCGUGGGGAUCAAACAGGAUUA